GCGGGUAUAGCCUAGUGGUAAAGAUGAUCGCUUGCUAUAAACAUGUGAAGGUCGUGGGUUCGAACCCUGCUGCCUUCC